GGUUAAGUUAGAAAGGGCGCACGGUGGAUGCCUUGACACUAGGAGUCGAUGAAGGACGGGACUAACGCCGAUAUGCUUCGGGGAGCUGUAAGUAAGCUUUGAUCCGAAGAUUUCCGAAUGGGGAAACCCACCAUACGUAAUGGUAUGGUAUCCUUAUCUGAAUACAUAGGGUAAGGAAGACAGACCCAGGGAACUGAAACAUCUAAGUACCUGGAGGAAGAGAAAGCAAAUGCGAUUUCCUGAGUAGCGGCGAGCGAAACGGAACAUAGCCCAAACCAAGAGGCUUGCCUCUUGGGGUUGUAGGACAUUCUAUACGGAGUUACAAAGGAACGAGGUAGACGAAGCGACCUGGAAAGGUCCGUCGUAGAGGGUAACAACCCCGUAGUCGAAACUUCGUUCUCUCUUGAAUGUAUCCUGAGUACGGCGGAACACGUGAAAUUCCGUCGGAAUCUGGGAGGACCAUCUCCCAAGGCUAAAUACUCCCUAGUGAUCGAUAGUGAACCAGUACCGUGAGGGAAAGGUGAAAAGCACCCCGGAAGGGGAGUGAAAGAGAUCCUGAAACCGUGUGCCUACAAAUAGUCAGAGCCCGUUAACGGGUGAUGGCGUGCCUUUUGUAGAAUGAACCGGCGAGUUACGAUCCCGUGCGAGGUUAAGCUGAAGAGGCGGAGCCGCAGCGAAAGCGAGUCUGAAUAGGGCGUUUAGUACGUGGUCGUAGACCCGAAACCAGGUGAUCUACCCAUGUCCAGGGUGAAGUUCAGGUAACACUGAAUGGAGGCCCGAACCCACGCACGUUGAAAAGUGCGGGGAUGAGGUGUGGGUAGCGGAGAAAUUCCAAUCGAACCUGGAGAUAGCUGGUUCUCCCCGAAAUAGCUUUAGGGCUAGCCUUAAGUGUAAGAGUCUUGGAGGUAGAGCACUGAUUGGACUAGGGGUCCUCAUCGGAUUACCGAAUUCAGUCAAACUCCGAAUGCCAAUGACUUAUCCUUAGGAGUCAGACUGCGAGUGAUAAGAUCCGUAGUCAAAAGGGAAACAGCCCAGACCGCCAGCUAAGGUCCCAAAGUGUGUAUUAAGUGGAAAAGGAUGUGGAGUUGCUUAGACAACUAGGAUGUUGGCUUAGAAGCAGCCACCAUUUAAAGAGUGCGUAAUAGCUCACUAGUCGAGUGACUCUGCGCCGAAAAUGUACCGGGGCUAAAUACACCACCGAAGCUGCGGAUUGAUACCGAAUGGUAUCAGUGGUAGGGGAGCGUUCUAAGGACAGUGAAGUCAGACCGGAAGGACUGGUGGAGUGCUUAGAAGUGAGAAUGCCGGUAUGAGUAGCGAAAGACGGGUGAGAAUCCCGUCCACCGAAUGCCUAAGGUUUCCUGAGGAAGGCUCGUCCGCUCAGGGUUAGUCAGGACCUAAGCCGAGGCCGACAGGCGUAGGCGAUGGACAACAGGUUGAUAUUCCUGUACCACCUCUUUAUCGUUUGAGCAAUGGAGGGACGCAGAAGGAUAGAAGAAGCGUGCGAUUGGUUGUGCACGUCCAAGCAGUUAGGCUGAUAAGUAGGCAAAUCCGCUUAUCGUGAAGGCUGAGCUGUGAUGGGGAAGCUCCUUAUGGAGCGAAGUCUUUGAUUCCCCGCUGCCAAGAAAAGCUUCUAGCGAGAUAAAAGGUGCCUGUACCGCAAACCGACACAGGUAGGCGAGGAGAGAAUCCUAAGGUGUGCGAGAGAACUCUGGUUAAGGAACUCGGCAAAAUGACCCCGUAACUUCGGGAGAAGGGGUGCUUUCUUAACGGAAAGCCGCAGUGAAUAGGCCCAAGCGACUGUUUAGCAAAAACACAGCUCUCUGCGAAGCCGUAAGGCGAAGUAUAGGGGGUGACACCUGCCCGGUGCUGGAAGGUUAAGGAGAGGGGUUAGCGUAAGCGAAGCUCUGAACUGAAGCCCCAGUAAACGGCGGCCGUAACUAUAACGGUCCUAAGGUAGCGAAAUUCCUUGUCGGGUAAGUUCCGACCCGCACGAAAGGUGUAACGAUUUGGGCACUGUCUCAACCAGAGACUCGGUGAAAUUAUAGUACCUGUGAAGAUGCAGGUUACCCGCGACAGGACGGAAAGACCCCGUGGAGCUUUACUGUAGCCUGAUAUUGAAUUUUGGUACAGUUUGUACAGGAUAGGCGGGAGCCUUUGAAACCGGAGCGCUAGCUUCGGUGGAGGCGCUGGUGGGAUACCGCCCUGACUGUAUUGAAAUUCUAACCUACGGGUCUUAUCGACCCGGGAGACAGUGUCAGGUGGGCAGUUUGACUGGGGCGGUCGCCUCCUAAAGUGUAACGGAGGCGCCCAAAGGUUCCCUCAGAAUGGUUGGAAAUCAUUCGUAGAGUGCAAAGGCAUAAGGGAGCUUGACUGCGAGACCUACAAGUCGAGCAGGGACGAAAGUCGGGCUUAGUGAUCCGGUGGUUCCGCAUGGAAGGGCCAUCGCUCAACGGAUAAAAGCUACCCCGGGGAUAACAGGCUUAUCUCCCCCAAGAGUCCACAUCGACGGGGAGGUUUGGCACCUCGAUGUCGGCUCAUCGCAUCCUGGGGCUGUAGUCGGUCCCAAGGGUUGGGCUGUUCGCCCAUUAAAGCGGUACGCGAGCUGGGUUCAGAACGUCGUGAGACAGUUCGGUCCCUAUCCGUCGUGGGCGUAGGAAAUUUGAGAGGAGCUGUCCUUAGUACGAGAGGACCGGGAUGGACGCACCGCUGGUGUACCAGUUGUUCUGCCAAGGGCAUAGCUGGGUAGCUAUGUGCGGAAGGGAUAAGUGCUGAAAGCAUCUAAGCAUGAAGCCCCCCUCAAGAUGAGAUUUCCCAUAGCGUAAGCUAGUAAGAUCCCUGAAAGAUGAUCAGGUUGAUAGGUUCGAGGUGGAAGCAUGGUGACAUGUGGAGCUGACGAAUACUAAUAGAUCGAGGACUUAACCAU
rnacentral:rRNA from 4 species